CAGUCGCCACGGUAAUACGUAGGGUGCAAGCGUUAAUCGGAAUUACUGGGCGUAAAGCGUGCGCAGGCGGUCCGCUAAGACAGAUGUGAAAUCCCCGGGCUUAACCUGGGAACUGCAUUUGUGACUGCAUGACUAGAGUGCGGCAGAGGGGGAUGGAAUUCCGCGUGUAGCAGUGAAAUGCGUAGAUAUGCGGAGGAACACCGAUGGCGAAGGCAAUCCCCUGGGCCUGCACUGACGCUCAUGCACGAAAGCGUGGGGAGCAAACAGGAUUAGAUACCCGGGUAGUCCUGUCUCUUAUACA
rnacentral:rRNA from 1 species